rnacentral:rRNA from 1 species
UACGGAGGGAGCUAGCGUUGUUCGGAAUUACUGGGCGUAAAGCGCACGUAGGCGGCUUUUUAAGUCAGGGGUGAAAGCCCAGAGCUCAACUCUGGAAUUGCCUUUGAGACUGAGUGGCUUGAGUACGAGAGAGGUGAGUGGAAUUCCCAGUGUAGAGGUGAAAUUCGUAGAUAUUGGGAAGAACACCGGUGGCGAAGGCGGCUCACUGGCUCGUAACUGACGCUCAUGCACGACAGCGUGGGGAUCAAACAGG